rnacentral:rRNA from 1 species
CAGUCGCCGCGGGAAUACGAAGGGGGCUAGCGUUGCUCGGAAUUACUGGGCGUAAAGGGAGCGUAGGCGGACAUUUAAGUCAGGGGUGAAAUCCCGGGGCUCAACCUCGGAAUUGCCUUUGAUACUGGGUGUCCUGAGUAUGAGAGAGGUAUGUGGAACUCCGAGUGUAGAGGUGAAAUUCGUAGAUAUUCGGAAGAACACCAGUGGCGAAGGCGACAUACUGGCUCAUUACUGACGCUGAGGCUCGAAAGCGUGGGGAGCAAACAGGAUUAGAUACCCCCGUAGUCCCUGUCUCUUAUAC